GUACACGCUGUGACUAGCAUAUCAAUAAGCGGAGGAAAAGAAACUAACAAGGAUUCCCUUAGUAACGGCGAGUGAAGCGGGAAGAGCUCAAAUUUGAAAUCUUGAAAGGUCACCUUUCACGAAUUGUAGUUUAAAGAAGUGUUUUCUGUUACGAUCGUAAUAUAAGUUCUUUGGAAUAGGACAUCACAGAGGGUGAGAAUCCCGUCUAUGAUUGCGAUUUGUAGCUUUGUGAUACACUUUCAAAGAGUCGGGUUGUUUGGGAAUGCAGCCCAAAACGGGAGGUAAAUUUCUUCUAAGGCUAAAUAUUGGCGAGAGACCGAUAGCGAACAAGUACCGUGAGGGAAAGAUGAAAAGAACUUUGAAAAGAGAGUUAAAUAGUACGUGAAAUUGUCAAAAGGGAAGCGUUUAACACCAGUGUUGUUUUCUGAAAAUCAACCUCAGUUAGCUUUAUGCAUGUUUGUUUAGACCUAAUCAGCUAUCUUGCAUGUUCUAUUGUUUGCAGUGGUGCACUUUUCAGUUUACAGGUCAACAUCAGUUUUUUUUUACCGUAAAAAAGUUAAAGAAAGGUAGCUCAUGGCUCCGGUCGUGAGUGUUAUAGUCUUUUUCCUAUGCGGUAGGAGAGACUGAGGUCUGCAGUGUAGGCUAUUUGGCUAGAUACUCAGGUGCUAUGUGAUACCAUUUCAUAAACAACUUGUUGAUUAUGUUUUGUCUAUUGCAUACUCGCUUGUACUAUCAUACCUACGCUUAGGAUGUUGAGUAGCGACAUACGCAC
rnacentral:rRNA from 1 species